CGAAAGCCUGAUGCAGCGACGCCGCGUGAGGGAUGACGGCCUUCGGGUUGUAAACCUCUUUCAGUAGGAAGAAGCGAAAGUGACGGUACCUGCAGAAGAAGCGCCGGCUAACUACGUGCCAGCAGCCGCGGUAAUACGUAGGGCGCAAGCGUUAUCCGGAAUUAUUGGGCGUAAAGAGCUCGUAGGCGGUUUGUCGCGUCUGCCGUGAAAGUCCGGGGCUCAACUCCGGAUCUGCGGUGGGUACGGGCAGACUAGAGUGAUGUAGGGGAGACUGGAAUUCCUGGUGUAGCGGUGAAAUGCGCAGAUAUCAGGAGGAACACCGAUGGCGAAGGCAGGUCUCUGGGCAUUAACUGACGCUGAGGAGCGAAAGCAUGGGGAGCGAACAGGAUUAGAUACCCUGGUAGUCCAUGCCGUAAACGUUGGGCACUAGGUGUGGGGGACAUUCCACGUUUUCCGCGCCGUAGCUAACGCAUUAAGUGCCCCGCCUGGGGAGUACGGCCGCAAGGCUAAAACUCAAAGGAAUUGACGGGGGCCCGCACAAGCGGCGGAGCAUGCGGAUUAAUUCGAUGCAACGCGAAGAACCUUACCAAGGCUUGACAUGAACCGGUAAUACCUGGAGACAGGUGCCCCGCUUGCGGUCGGUUUACAGGUGGUGCAUGGUUGUCGUCAGCUCGUGUCGUGAGAUGUUGGGUUAAGUCCCGCAACGAGCGCAACCCUCGUUCUAUGUUGCCAGCACGUGAUGGUGGGGACUCAUAGGAGACUGCCGGGGUCAACUCGGAGGAAGGUGGGGACGACGUCAAAUCAUCAUGCCCCUUAUGUCUUGGGCUUCACGCAUGCUACAAUGGCCGGUACAAAGGGUUGCGAUACUGUGAGGUGGAGCUAAUCCCAAAAAGCCGGUCUCAGUUCGGAUUGGGGUCUGCAACUCGACCCCAUGAAGUCGGAGUCGCUAGUAAUCGCAGAUCAGCAACGCUGCGGUGAAUACGUUCCCGGGCCUUGUACACACCGCCCGUCAAGUCACGAAAGUUGGUAACACCCGAAGCCGGUGGCCUAACCCCUUGUGGGAGGGAGCUGUCGAAGGUGGU
rnacentral:rRNA from 1 species